AGGCCUAAAAAUCCAUUGCUGGCCUAGAAUUCCCCAGGUGGUCUAGAAAUCUUCAGUGGGCCUAGAAAUCCUCAGAUAUCCUAGAAAUCCUCAGAUGGCCUAGAAAUCCACAGAUGGCCUAAAAAUCCAUU
ensembl:ncRNA Y48G8AR.6 ncRNA